rnacentral:rRNA from 1 species
UAAGGAAUAUUGGUCAAUGGACGCAAGUCUGAACCAGCCAUGCCGCGUGAAGGAUGAAGGUCCUCUGGAUUGUAAACUUCUUUUAUCUGGGACGAAAACGGGAUUUUUAUCUCAAUUGACGGUACCAGAGGAAUAAGCACCGGCUAACUCCGUGCCAGCAGCCGCGGUAAUACGGAGGGUGCGAGCGUUAUCCGGAUUUACUGGGUUUAACGGGUGCGUAGGUGGGCUUAUAAGUCAGUGGUGAAAUCUCCGAGCUUAACUUGGAAACUGCCGUUGAUACUAUAGGUCUUGAAUUAUCUGGAGGUAAGCGGAAUAUGUCAUGUAGCGGUGAAAUGCUUAGAUAUGACAUAGAACACCAAUUGCGAAGGCAGCUUACUACAUAUAAAUUGACGCUGAGGCACGAAAGCGUGGGAAUCAAACA